CAUCAAUUUCUCCACUGGCUACUCCCAAACAAUUUGAACAAUUCAUUCAGGCAGCAAGUGUUUCCACCAAUAAAAUAAAAAGAAUUGAUUUCAUCCAGAAGAACUGUUUUUGAACUGUGGACUGUUUGAAAUAUUUUGCACCUGCUCAGAAAUCCCUUCA